UGGUGGAGUGAUUUGUCUGGUUAAUUCCGUUAACGAACGAGACGGCAACUUGCUAAAUAGUGGCGUCUAGCAUCUUUACAAGUGAAAGCGGCGAUGCAGUUGGACUUCCGCAAGGGAGCCCGACUCUCGCCGACGGAUCUUUGAUGAUUAGAUACAGCUGCUUCUUAGAAGGACUAUUGGGACAAACCCAAUGGAAGUGCCGCAAUAACA
rnacentral:rRNA from 1 species